rnacentral:sRNA from 1 species
AGGUGCCGGGCGCAGGCCCGGCGCGGCGCUAGUAGAGACGCGCCGGGUGCCAGCCCCUCGCCGCUCGCCGCACCUUAAAUUGUUGACAAAGUGCUCCCACUUUGUGGCUGGAGCCGUACGACCUUGGCGCGGGUCCCCGAGUGGCGGGCUGGAAAAGCUGGAGGCCAGAGCCGCUCGCGGACUCGCCCGAGCCCAGCCAGCCAGUGGGGAGAGGCAGGACGCGGACUCCGCGUGCUUUGAUUGCGCCCGGCAGUCCUUGGCGUGGGCUCCCGGCCUCGCAGCGGCAGCUGCAGCUGCAGCGGCACGCGAGAGCUGUCAAAUGCACGUUCUCGGACCCCACCCGGACCCACGGAAUCCGAAUCUCUGGGUGGGUCCGCGCGACUGUGGAGUGGCCCUCCAGGUGAUGGUGUGUAUUGCUUGCAAAGUUUGAGAACCACUCAGUUAUGGAGCACUCAGAGGCUGCAGCCGGAGUCCAGCCCUUUGGGUUAAGGUUAGAGGGAGCCAGGGUUUCCUUUUAAAAUUCAUGCUGCAUAAAGGGUAGGGUGGCCUUUCUCCUUUUCCGGGCCAUUUUGGUUAAAAAGAUAAAGAUGUUCGAAGUAAUUACUCAGAGCGCAGGAGCCGGGGCUUGGCUUUACUGUUGUAGGUGAUAACCUUGUCAACUGCUUAUUAGUGAAUGCUGAACAAGUUUCCCAAAGUUUGUAUUUUUAAAAAUAGAAAACCGUGAGGACAUACUGAAUGCCGGUGACAAAUUAACAGAGGUCCUUGAAGAGGCGAACACUCUGUUUAAUGAAGUGUCCCGAGCAAGAGAAGCAGUCCUGGAUGCCCACUUUCUUGUUUUGGCUUCAGAUUUGGGCAAAGAGAAAGCAAAGCAGCUGCGCUCAGACUUGAGCUCCUUUGACAUGUUAAGAUAUGUUGAAACUCUACUCACACAUAUGGGUGUAAAUCCGCUAGAAGCUGAAGAACUCAUCCAUGAUGAAGAUGGUCCUGAUUUUGAAUUCAUAGUCUAUGACUCCUGGAAGAUAACAGGCAGAACAGCAGAAAACACCUUUAAUAAAACCCAUACAUUCCACUUUCUGUAAGAUUAUUUUAAAAAUCCAACAGACCAGUUAUUUGUGAACCUUAAAUUGCUUUUUCUUGUAGGGACAAAGAUUAUUUGGUAUUGUAGAGGUGACAGUCAUGAUGCUGUUGUUUGGAGACUUUUGAAACUUUGAUAUGAAAGUUCAUAAACACUAGGCCGGGCGUGGUGGCUCAUGCCUGUAAUCCCGGCACUUUGGGAGGUGGAUGCAGGUAGAUCAUCUGAGCUCAGGAAUUCAAGAUCAGCCUGGGCAACAUGGCGAGAACCCAUCUCUACC